AUACGUCGGGGGCGAGCGUUGUCUGGAAUGAUUGGGCGUAAAGGGCGCGUAGGCGGCUUUGCAAGUCAGUAGUGGAAGUCCAUUUUUCAAGGAUGGAAGUGCUACAGAAACUGCGGAGCUUGAGUGCAGGCGAGGAUAUCGGAAUUACCGGUGUAGCGGUGAAGUGCGUAGAGAUGGGGAGGAACACCAGUGGCGAAGGCGGGUAACUGGACUGCAACUGACGCUGAGGCGCGAAAGUGUGGGGAGCAAACAGGAUUAGAUACCCUGGUAGUCCACACUGUAAACGAUGAAUGCUAGGUGGAGUAGGUAGCGACCCCUUCUGUGCCGCAGUAAACACAGUAAGCAUUCCGCCUGGGGAGUACGGUCGCAAGAUUAAAACUCAAAGGAAUUGACGGGG
rnacentral:rRNA from 1 species